UACGUAGGGUGCAAGCGUUAAUCGGAAUUACUGGGCGUGAAGCGUGCGCAGGCGGUUCUAUAAGACAGAUGUGAAAUCCCCGGGCUCAACCUGGGAACUGCAUUUGUGACUGUAGAGCUGGAGUACGGUAGAGGGGGAUGGAAUUCCGCGUGUAGCAGUGAAAUGCGUAGAUAUGCGGAGGAACACCGAUGGCGAAGGCAGCCCCCUGGGAUAACACUGACGCUCAUGCACGAAAGCGUGGGGAGCAAACAGG
rnacentral:rRNA from 1 species